GAUGAACGCUGGCGGCGUGCCUAAUACAUGCAAGUCGAGCGAACAGAUGAGGAGCUUGCUCCUCUGACGUUAGCGGCGGACGGGUGAGUAACACGUGGAUAACCUACCUAUAAGACUGGGAUAACUUCGGGAAACCGGAGCUAAUACCGGACAAUAUAUUGAACCGCAUGGUUCAAUAGUGAACGACGGUUUUGCUGUCACUUAUAGAUGUAUCCGCGCCGCAUUAGCUAGUUGGUAAGGUAACGGCUUACCAAGGCAACGAUGCGUAGCCGACCUGAGAGGGUGAUCGGCCACACUGGAACUGAGACACGGUCCAGACUCCUACGGGAGGCAGCAGUAGGGAAUCUUCCGCAAUGGGCGAAAGCCUGACGCAGCCACGCCGCGUGAGUGAUGAAGGUCUUCGGAUCGUAAAACUCUGUUAUUAGGGAAGAACAAAUGUGUAAGUAACUAUGCACGUCUUGACGGUACCUAAUCAGAAAGCCACGGCUAACUACGUG
rnacentral:rRNA from 1 species